GGUAGUAGAAAAUAUUCAAAUGAGAACUUUGAAGGCCGAAAAGGGGAAAGGUUCAAUGUGAACGGCACCAGCACAUGGGUUAGUCAAUCGUAUGGGUCGGGGGUACCCCGACAGAUAGCGCAUUUCGCGUGUACUCCGUAAUGGAAUGGGUUAAAAUUCCUGAACCAGAACGUGGAGGUUAACGACAAUGUUAGGAAGUCGGCAAACGUUGGUGGGAGCUUCGGGAAGAGUUGUCUUUUCUAUUUAACAGCAUGCCCACCAUGGAAUCGGCUAGCCGGAGGUAGAGUCCAGCGGCUGGAAGAGCACCUCACGUCACGUGGUGUCUGGUGCGCUCCCGGCGAUCCUUGAAAAUCCAGAGGACCUAAUGCCGUCGACACUCGGUCAUACUCAUAACUGCAUCAGGUCUCCAAGGUGAACAACCUCUGGUU
rnacentral:rRNA from 1 species